UAAGUACUCCCUCUGUCCGGAAUUACUUGUCGCAAAAAUGGAUAAAGUUGGAUGUAUCUAGAAUUAAAAUAUGUCUAGAUACAUCCAUUUCUCCGACAAGUAUUUCCAGACGGAGGGAGUAGUAA
rnacentral:pre_miRNA from 1 species